CAAUCACACAGCUCACCAACUGUCUGUUGUUCUUACCAUGUCUAAAACUAGAGAAAGAGAAAUAAAGAAGAUAGUGUACUUUCAACUACCAAAUUUGUUUUGUGAGAGGCUUGCCUCUGACAAAAUAAGGGCACAGAUUAUAUGCCCAAUGUAAACAUGAUAAAUAGAAGCUGGAAAACAUUAUUUGUGGAAUAUUUACACAUUUAGCAUACCCUUUAAAUUUUGUCCCCAGGUAAUAUACAUGCUGUAUUAGAAUACAAAGCACAUUGGGUACUGGGCUGAUAUGUUUAACAUUUCACAUAUAGUGGCAAAGACCUCAGAUUAAAUGAGAGAACAGAUGGAUCAAAUGACAGAUAGGUAAGAUGUUCUCGAUCAGAUUGCAAUCUCCUCAAAAGGGAGGAAAGGAUUUUUAAUUUAUGUGAUAAUUAUAAAUAUGAUUUCCCCCACACACAAUCUGAAGUGAUGCAAUACAUUACAUGAUCUCAGCAGUCUGAUAGCAACUAUGUAUUAGGAGGCAUUUCCAAAAAUGCAUGAAGGCAGCUCCUGACAGAGCACACGGUAGUAGUCCAAACAGGAUGUAACUUUGGGUGGCUCUAUGCCAGUGGUUCUCAACCUGUGAGUCCUCAGGUGUUUUAGCCUAUAACUCCCAGAAAUCCCAACCACUUUACCAGCUGUUAGGAUUUCUGGUAAUUGAAGGCCAAAACAUCUGGGGACCCAUAGGUUGACCCUUACCACCACCAUCACCACCACCAUGGUUCUCAUCAUCAUGCCAGCCAGCUGGUGCAUCAUGACUAAUGUUAGUUGGCUGUUUGACACCUGAAGUGACAUCAGUCAGAGUGAGGCAGGAAGAGGACAAAUCACAUCCAAUCUUUCACUCCUCUGAUUGCCUUAUUGCUCAGGUUAGUGUCACUUCAGGUGAUGAGUAAAGGACACAACCCAUGUUGCAUCUGCUGUCCACCAGGAAGAUAAGAACAGAAAGGGACUGUAAGUGCCUUCUCAUGACCCUUGGUGGCCUGAGUGCCAAGAAGUAUGUGAUGGCCAUGUUGAGGAACCAGUAUUAUUCCAUGCAUUAUUUAGCCAUCAUGGAGUGGAUUCGCCUGCCCUUCGGAAUAACUGGUUAAUAUAGAUAUGCCCUAAGCAUGUAUCACAUACAGCAUCUUCAGGAGUGGAUGCAAUUAAAGCAGUAGCCUAAAUUGUGCAAACAUCAUUCUGGCCACUAUCAACAGCUGGGCGUCCAGGCCUGUCACCAGUGACCACUAGUCCUAAAUCCCAUUGCUAGUCCAAACUAGAGUAGAUCUGAAUCAAUUAAAUGUAUGUAAGUGUUGAUUUAUUAAGUUCCCAUUUAUCUGAUUGUUCAUCUUCUUCUUCUUCAAUCACUCAGUUUUUCCGACUCUUCGUGACCUCAUGGACCAGUCCACACCAGAGCUUCCUGUUGGCCGUCGCCGCCCCCAGCUCCUUUCAGGUCAAGCCAGUCACUUCAAGGAUACCAUCCAUCCAUCUCCCCCUUGGUCGGCCUCUCUUCCUUUUUCCUUCCAUUUCCCCCAGCAUCAUGAUCUUUUCCAAGCUUUUCUGUCUUCUCAUGAUGUGGCCAAAAUACUUCAUCUUUGCCUCUAAUAUCCUUCCCUCCAGUGAGCAGCCGGGGACUAUUCUCUGGAGGAUGGACUGGUUUGAUCUCCUUGGGAUCCAAGGCACUCUCAGGAUUUUCCUCCAGCACCAAAGUUCAAAAGUAUAUAUCUUCCCUCGAUCAGCCUUCCUUAUGGUCCAUCUCUCGCAUCCAUAGGUUACUAUGGGGAAUACCAUUGCUUUAACUAUGCGGACCUUCGUUGCCAGUGUGAUGUCUCUGCUUUUCACUAUUUUAUCGAGGUUGGCCAUUGCUCUCCUCCCAAGAAGUAGAUGUCUUCUGAAUUCCUGGCUGGAGUCUGCGUCUGCAGUGAUCUUCACGUCUAGAAAUAUAAAGUCUGUCACUGCCUCCACGUUUUCUCCCUCUAUUUGCCAGUCUGGUUGCCAUAAUCUUGGUUUUCUGAUUGUUCUACUCUAGUUGAAAUUAGCAAUUGAAUUUAUACCCAAGAAGAGUCUGACCCCAGCAGAAUAAACUCUCAACCCCUGAUCUGGUUUUCAGAUUACCAAGAACACUUCUGACUUUCUCAGUCUCUAUUUGUUUGCCCUCUUCAAGUCUGUUAAAAUUAUCACACACUGAUUUAUAACUGAAAGGGCUUUCUGGAUCUAGAUGGAAAAGCCAGAGUUUGUGUCACUGGAUUGCUGUAUGCACAGAACCCCAACAUGCCAAACUCUAUUUCCCAGCAGUUUAAUGUAAUUGUUAAAUAACAAGAUACAGACCGAGGGACAUCAGAGACCAAUAGCCACAGAGUUAAACAAAUAGCACCCACUACACUAGUCAUCCCAUAAAGAUUGGGCCCACAAUGAAACAACUGCUCCAAGUCACAUUCCAGAUGGACAGUUCACAAGACUACCGUGAUCCUCCAUGGUCCCUUAUCCAGUUUCUAGCACAGAACAUUGAACAAAGUGGCGUUAUCUGUCACUCUUCUAUAACCAGACAUGAAGCCAGAUUGUAAUGGAUAGAGAUAAUUCAUUUCAUCCAGGAACUAUUACAAAUGAGACAACAAUAAACAGCAAGCACCUUGUCAAUCAUUGGAAAAAACAGCUGCAUACUCAAAUCUAAAAUGCUCUUCCAGUCUUGACUGACAACCAGUGCCACUUCUUUUCUGACCAUUUUCUCCUUGGCUAUCAUUUUCCUCUAAAAGUUUUGUUUGCACCUUCUCUUUUUCUUUCACUUUAUAUAUACAAUACACUGAAAUGUGAUCCAUCAAUACAAGGAUAAAUAGCAACAAAGAAAUGGCUGCUUGGUUUUUAUUCAUGCUCCUCUCUUUCACCUAUUGCAGAAAUUUUGUUCCAGUCAAUGGGAUAACACUCCUGAGCUACUGAAACAAUAUACAAUGUGUUGUGAUUGGAGUUUUCUGGGGCUUUGUGUGUGACUCACCCAAGGUCACCCAGUGGGUUUCUAUGGCUGAGCAGUGAAUUAUCCCAGUUUCCAGAAUCAUAGCUCAGUGCUCAAACAACAAUACCACACUGGCACUCAAUGUGUCAUAUAACAUGAGCUUUUUUCCUUGGAUAAAAUAUCAUGUUUCCGAGAACAUGAUAGCAGGUAUGUUGUAGUCAAUCUUAUUCAUUGAAUAAUUUCUAGGAAGUGGACGUAAAUCAAACCUACUCCUAGAUGACCAAGUUCUAAGCUGAAACAUGUACAGAGGCAUAUUAUUCUAUUUUACCAUUGUGAUGAUGUAGCUGUGCUUACUGAGUUGCAGCAAGAAGGUAGUUUAUUCCUGAAAUAAUUGCAUUGUAUUAUGACUUUGCAUGUUUGAGAUAUAAGCACUUUUUCGUGUCAGGAGAAACUUGAGAAACUGCAAGUCGCUUCUGGUGUGAGAGAACUGGCAGUCUGCAAGGACAUUGCUCAGGGGAUGCCCGGAUGUUUGAUGUUUUACCCUCCUUGUGGGAGGCUUCUCUCAUGUCCCUGCAUGGGGAGCUGGAGCUGACAGAGGGAGCUCACCCGCUCUCCUGAGAUUCAAACCACUGACCUGUCAGUCAGCAGUCCUGCCGGCACAAAGGUUUAAUGUAUUGUGCCACUGGGGGCUUGAUAUAAGCACUGGAAAAGUGGAAAGCAGUAGAAAAAGAAGGAGACCACAUUACAAGUGGAUUGACUCAGUCUGAGUUUGCAUGACUCAAUCUCUUGAAAGUCUCCCAUUCAGAGAGCUAAUAUAUAUUAAAGUCGAUUUGAUGGCAAGUAAUAAUAACAAACUAAUUCCUCAAAAGAAGAAAGGGAAGGAAGAGAAGAGAAAGAAAUGUAGAAGGCUACCCUGUUUCCCCUAAAAUAAAAUAUCCCCAGAAAAUAAGACCUAAUAGAGGUUUUGCUGAAUUGCUCAAUAUAAGGCCUCCCCCAAAAGUGAGACCUAGCAAAGUUUUUGUUUUGAAGCAUGCCCAACAAACAGAACACCAGAGCAUGCAGGAUUGGUAAAUGUACCUACCAUAGAGUAUUGUACAUGGAAAUAAUGGCAGUAACAAGAAAUUCUUGAUAGGAUUCACAGUUUGUCUGGUUAUGGUGGUUUGUGAUGACAACUACUGUACAGUAUAUAAUAAAUGUUCAUUUUUUUGUUCAACAAUAAAUGUGAAUUCUUCUUCAUGGAAAAAUAAGACAUCCCCUGAAAAUAAGACCUAGAGCAUCUUUGAGAGCAAAAAUUAAGAUAAGAAACUGUCUUAUUUUUGGGAAAACACGGUAGCUAGAAAGCAUGGGCUUUCAUAGAUAAAAUAGUGAAUUAAGUCCCUUCCAACUGAAUAGGUUUUACUUUGUGUCGUCAGCCAUUUAAAAUCCCACCCAAUCCAAAGUCAUGAGCCACUAAAAUGGAAUCAAGAUAUACAUCAGACCAAAACCAGGGCAGGGAACAGAAGAAGCAGCAUGUGGAAAUGGAGAAUCACCUUAAAAUUUCAUCAUACGGGUAUGCCCCCUAGACAGUAUUAUACAUUAACCAAAAACAUGGACUUUUCUGUUUGACUGUUUACUUUUUUGGAAAGGCAACAUCAAAGAAAACUCUUGCAAUAUACUGUGUUGAUUAUUCUCCCCCUUCCUAAUAAACCUACAUAACUGAGCAAGGUCAAAUAAGUACACAGAAACAAGUACACUGGCUACAAAGGGGGAAAUAUAGAUGGAAAAGGAUAAUAAAAAAGCAAGAAAACCGAACUUCUGUCUUUAAAUGAAGACAAAUAAUGUGAAUGAAUAACCUCAAAUGGCCAGAUUAAUAUACUGAAGCUUUUUACUCAUAUAUAGAAACACUGGAAGUUUAUACUGCUGCACAUGUGUGUAUUAUUAACAUUUAAAGCAGGACAAUUCAUGUGCUGUUUUCACAAAGGAAAUAUAGUAGUUAUUUAAAGAAACAAAAAUGCAUUAAUUCUUCUAUAGUAAUUAAUUAUAUAUGCAAUUAAUAUAUUAACUAAUGAAUUAACAAUAUUUUACUUCAUUAAUGUGAUGUUCCUUUAAGUCACCUGACAAUGUGUGGUGACUCUGUGAUCGAGGUGACCUCCCCUCCAGGACUUUGUAAAAGAUAGUUCAAAAAUCAAGACUUUAUGUUCUAUAUUCCAUAUAUUUAUAGUAGAAGGUGAUUGGGACUUUUUACUGGAGUUUACUGUGGAUUAUCCCUGCACUCUGAGGCAAGAGAUAACAACUUCAUGGAUUGUGAAAUCAUGUUGCUUGAACCCCACUUCUAUGUUGAAUUCCCCAGAUGUUGUGAACUUCGUUCUGAUCAAAUGUUUCCUAUUACUUAUAUCGAUUGUUUAUAUCAUUCAUGAUUCCCCUUUAUGCAAUGUCACCCACCUUUAUGGAUUCUCCUUUAUUUUCUUGAAAUGUACCUAUCUGCCUAUAUGUAUUUAUACUCUUUGGGAUCCCCGGAAAAUAUGUGUUUUUCCUAGCUGGGUUUAUAUUCCAACUUUAUUUUUAAUUUUCAUUUUAUCCCGUAUAAUUGGCAGAUCAUGAAAUCAAAUGGGAAAUAUUAUGACCCCAACCUGAACUCUAGCCCCAUGACUCAGACCUCCCUUCCCAAAAACAAAAGGAUAAUCUGCCACAGUUUAAUCCCCUCUCAUUCCGACCGCAUGGACAAUAUAGGGCGAGUCACCAAACUCCUAAAGGUGACUCGCCCCCAAGGCAAACAUUGUCACAUCUCAGGCCAGGACGCCGCAGGAAGGCACCCUGUGGGGCCGUCAAUGAUGGCUCAUCACCACCCACUUCCCGUCUGACACCCCAAAGACAUAUCUAAAAUCUGUGAACGUGACAGGACCCCGGACAUCCUUGAUGGGUGUCAUUAAUUCCUUUAGAAAUCGGCUGGGCCAGAAUUAAUCAGAUAUUUCCUGUCCGGUCACCUCUUUGUCUCAAUAGCUCCCGCCUCCUCCUCUCUGAUUGGCCCGAAUAGGGACAAUAAGCGGCUCCCCAUUGGGCCAGCAGAGCAAGGCGGGAAACGAAAGCCCGCCUCAUUCAACCUCUCAGCCUAUCCGCGAUCAGAUGGGCAGGGAAGCGGGGCGGGAAAUUCAAAGGGCUGUCAGACCAAAACAUUGUAUAAAUAUGGCUUUAUUUGAAACAUAUGUUACGCUAGUAGAUUGAAUGAUCACUAUUAGCGUCCUUUUCAGCUGAAUUGCUCAAUAAAACUCCUUGGCGGAUUUUCCUUCAACGUGGCGGACCUUCUUCAUUUCAGGCUUCAGGUUGUAUUGCGGCUUAUAUUCUUCUUUUGGCUUCGCCAAGGUCCGUUCCCUCAGGACCGGAUCGGCUUCCUUCUAAAGGGGCCCGAUCCCCCAAACGCGGUCGACAACAUAAUUUGGCUUUACCACGAAGGGACUUGCUUGGAAGUUCCAAAGAUCCAUUUUUUUAGGCUAAAAUUCCAAGCGGCGACCUUGGUCCAGAUAUUCUGGGACAGGUUGGGGAGAGAAACGGCUGCAAGGAGGGCCCUCCGACCAACAAUUUGACCUCAUUUCACAUCCAAAUUUCUCUGGCAGUCCCUUUCUCUCUCUAGAUCUGAUUCAGGGUACUGAACAAAGGAGCCAGAUAGGAGGAAGCAGAUUUUUAGCUCCUCGAAGGAAAGGCGCCAACGUGAAACAGGGGACGCCCUGUAAAAAUAAAAGGGAACCGGCCCCGUUGUUGAGACCCAGGUGGGAGGAGUCCUGGAGGUAUUGCACUUCGGAUCAGGGCUCGGUAACAAAUUCCUGGUGAAACGCGGGAAAAUCUGGCACCCGGGGGGCGUGUGAGAACAGUCUGGCUUGUAAGAUUACAGGUUCAAGAAUCGCGGGGUAGGGGAACAGUUGUGUUCCCGGGGCACCUGCGGAUUCCACGAACGCCAGCCAUCCAGUCUUGGUGAAGGGAACUCUCGGUAGGACGAGCUGACCUGGCCGGUUGGGUGAGUCGUUACUCCGUUAACUGUCAGGUACUGGGCAGGGGUUGAGCCAAGAAUGGGUGUUUGUUCAAGCACGUCUAGGGUGUCCCACCCCAGCAGACAUCCCCAGGGAUUCUCCUUUGGGCAAGAUCCUGGCCAAUUGGGGUGGGCUUUGCAUCAAAAAACAUGGUGCAGGCCAGGUUGGGCUAACUCAGAGCACAUAAGUGGCCCCUUGUGGCCCUUGAAGGGGGAACAGCUUGCCCCCCGUUUGAGUCACCGAAUUCGGAGUGUUGACCUAAGGUGACUCACCAUGGGGAGGGCAAGUGGUCCCAACUUGCUUAUGCUGCAAUGUUCAUGGCCCUAAGCCAGGGAGAGAAUCGGAGGGGGGGAGGGGGGCCCACGUCUUCCCAUGCAGAGAUUUGGGCUCCAAAAACAGCCCUCCAAAGAUUCCCCCCUAGACCCUUUUCCCCUUACCCCCUCCUCCAGAGGAUUUUCUGGACACAUUUGCUUGCCUUCUCCCCACCCCAUCAGCCCCCUCCUCCAAUCCCCAUCCCCACCUUUUCUCCUCACCCUGAGUCCUACACUGAUCCAGGACUCCCAAAUUGGCCUUCCAAGGGAACCCUUACUUCAGGGAUCCCCCCCCCAAGAAAUUCCCCUCCAGAGAGUUCAGCCCAGUCUAACGUGAAGGAGGGCUCCCAGCCCCCUCCCCUCUCACCCCGAAACACACCUGAUCCAAAACACUGUUCACACUCUCUCAGCCCCCAUCCCAGCCGUUCCUUUGAAGCCUGAUGCCCCCCCCCCAAAUUGUAUCUGCCCCUGCCACUCAACUCCUGCCACAUUCUGAGUUUUCCUUAGAUGGGAAGAAUCGCCCCACCAUCCCCCUCCUUCUCUUGCCCCCACCAGGCUCUCUCUCUCUCUCUCUCUCUCUCUCUCUCUCUCUCUCUCUCUCUCUCUGCGCUCAUUCCUCUCUUGGAGAGACAGGAGAAGGAGGGGCCGCGGGGAGAUUGUGCAAAGAGGACACUUUUUUCCUCUUCCUGUUUUUGGAGGGGCAAAGGGGGGAGAAGAUUCAGUCCUGAAGCCUGCCACCAAGAUCUAUAGUUCUCCAAGGAUUGCUUCCUUCUUUCAAAUCAAAUCUUCUCCAACUUGAUAUUCUGCCUUGCCUACCCUCAAAUUGUACCCUUUUUUUCUUUUCUCUCUCUCUCUUCCCCGGCCUGAGUGAAAGUCUCUCUCUCUCCCUCAAAUCUCAAAUCCAUUUCUCCUCUCCUUCCUCUCUUCUCACCUUUUAAAAUCCCUUAUUUCCCUUUGUUCCCAUUUUCUAGACACUAUCCCUAAGAUUUUACCUCAGUGUUGUCUUAUAUUUCCUUUGGUCCUUACAAAAGGGGGGAGGGGGGCCAUUCCUUUAGCCGCUUCUGUUUCUUAAUUUCCCCUUUUUCUUUCUUUCCCAUCUGGGAAGCAUGGCAAAGGAUUUGGGUGGGGGAAGGGGACUCCCAGAAAAGUGUUGAUUAAAUUUUGUGUGUUUAUGUAAUGUGUGGGCUGUAAACUCUUCUCUACUCACCCCUUUGCCUUAAAAGCCACCAGUGAUAUAUAGUUUUCUGGGAAGGAGGGCUGGAAUGGACUAGCUUAGUGCUAUGCUCUCUCUCUCUCCCUUUUCUUCUGUGCCAUCUCACCUCCCUAUUUUCAAAGGUUCAAGCCCUAAUAUUUUGUGAGACCCCCCCCCCCAGAGAAAACCUGCUGCUUCUGUGGUUUUAACUUUUUCUUGUCUCUCUCUCCUCAAGCCUCCCUUAUCUUAGAGAGAAAAGGGGGGGGAUGGAAGAAUUGAUGUAUUUUUCUAUAUGUGAGUUUUUUUCUCUCUCUCUCUCUCUCUUCCACUUCAUGUUUUCCUAGGCCGAAAUGCACUUCAACAUUCUCCUUUUUCAAAGCUCCCCCCCCCCUUCCUUCCCAGCAUCCCCAUUUCUCCUUAUAAACAUUCAGUCAAAAUCCUGGUUUACUUUUAUAGUGAAGGCACUCUUUCACUCUCCACAGUUCCCCAACAAUCUCCUUUCUUCCUUUCGGGUCCUUCUCCCUCCCUUUCCCUGAGUGCAUGCGUGUGAAUGUUUUAAAAAAAUCCCUCUAACUGCCUUUAAUUAUGAGGAGGGCAUUAGAGUCCAGGGGACCUUCCAGGCACAGCUGAAGAGAUCCAGAGGACCGGACCCAACCACCUGACUGAGGACAUCAGACCAGACUGCAAGACCCAUAAUCCAUACCUGCCACCAUGAACAGUUCUAAGACCUGGGUAGGGGCUCUCGGAGUGCGCUGUGGAUUUCAUGCAGCAGCUAGAACCCAGAGGCCAUUGGAGAUGGUCCUGUGAGGGCUUUUAUGGCCAGACCACCGUAUGGUGCCCUCCAGCUGGCCUGGUUCUGCCCUGGCAAAGGGCUACUGAGUGCAGGUCUGCCUUUGACGCUGCCAAGGAGGCCCUCAUGACAUCACCAGGGGACAGAAUUGGCCGCCAUGGCAGAAGAUGUCCCAGAAGAAAUGAACAGGAUUCUACCAGUGACCACCAUGAGGGAAGGAUGUUCCACUUUCACCAGAGCUGUGCCAAAGAAGGACCCCAGGACUGCUGGAGCCCUCACAAGGUAUGAGUGACUUCCCUGACUAACCCCACCACGGGAGGGAGGGGGGGCUUAUAAUCUGUCCUUAGUUUCCCUAGGCACUCUCUCCUUUCCGUCUCCUCUGUUGGAGUGCUGGACCUGCCUGCAGUCACCAGGAGGCGCCGUGCUGUGAGGCGCAGAAGCUGUGCCCAGUUGCCCCCAGCUGCCAACUACAAAGGGGGGGCCCAAGCUGCAGCCAAGAAAAGGCAGCCAAAUGGGAGUACUGCAUCACAGCCUCCAUCAUCCCCAGCCCUCACCACCUCCACCUUCAUGCUCCAUUUCCCAUGACUCCAGACCAAGGGACAUCUGUUUCAACACCAUGGGAUCACCCACCACUGACUGAACCUCAGCUUUCACCUCUUCAAGCUCCUGCCCUCCAACAAAAAGGCACAAUCUGAUCUACCAAGGCAGAGGCCCUGCAUGCAGUGAAAUGUCGGGGCUUUGGGAAAUGUUCAUAGCCAUUUCCAAGCCCCGAAGGGGGGAAAAUGUGAUCGAGGUGACCUCCCCUCCAGGACUUUGUAAAAGAUAGUUCAAAAAUCAAGACUUUAUGUUCUAUAUUCCAUAUAUUUAUAGUAGAAGGUGAUUGGGACUUUUUACUGGAGUUUACUGUGGAUUAUCCCUGCACUCUGAGGCAAGAGAUAACAACUUCAUGGAUUGUGAAAUCAUGUUGCUUGAACCCCACUUCUAUGUUGAAUUCCCCAGAUGUUGUGAACUUCGUUCUGAUCAAAUGUUUCCUAUUACUUAUAUCGAUUGUUUAUAUCAUUCAUGAUUCCCCUUUAUGCAAUGUCACCCACCUUUAUGGAUUCUCCUUUAUUUUCUUGAAAUGUACCUAUCUGCCUAUAUGUAUUUAUACUCUUUGGGAUCCCCGGAAAAUAUGUGUUUUUCCUAGCUGGGUUUAUAUUCCAACUUUAUUUUUAAUUUUCAUUUUAUCCCGUAUAAUUGGCAGAUCAUGAAAUCAAAUGGGAAAUAUUAUGACCCCAACCUGAACUCUAGCCCCAUGACUCAGACCUCCCUUCCCAAAAACAAAAGGAUAAUCUGCCACAGUUUAAUCCCCUCUCAUUCCGACCGCAUGGACAAUAUAGGGCGAGUCACCAAACUCCUAAAGGUGACUCGCCCCCAAGGCAAACAUUGUCACAUCUCAGGCCAGGACGCCGCAGGAAGGCACCCUGUGGGGCCGUCAAUGAUGGCUCAUCACCACCCACUUCCCGUCUGACACCCCAAAGACAUAUCUAAAAUCUGUGAACGUGACAGGACCCCGGACAUCCUUGAUGGGUGUCAUUAAUUCCUUUAGAAAUCGGCUGGGCCAGAAUUAAUCAGAUAUUUCCUGUCCGGUCACCUCUUUGUCUCAAUAGCUCCCGCCUCCUCCUCUCUGAUUGGCCCGAAUAGGGACAAUAAGCGGCUCCCCAUUGGGCCAGCAGAGCAAGGCGGGAAACGAAAGCCCGCCUCAUUCAACCUCUCAGCCUAUCCGCGAUCAGAUGGGCAGGGAAGCGGGGCGGGAAAUUCAAAGGGCUGUCAGACCAAAACAUUGUAUAAAUAUGGCUUUAUUUGAAACAUAUGUUACGCUAGUAGAUUGAAUGAUCACUAUUAGCGUCCUUUUCAGCUGAAUUGCUCAAUAAAACUCCUUGGCGGAUUUUCCUUCAA